GAAUGGCUCAUUAUAUAAGUUAUCGUUUAUUUGAUAGCGCCUUACUACUUGGAUAACCGUGGUAAUUCUAGAGCUAAUACAUGCUGAAAGUCCCGACUCCGGAAGGGAUGUAUUUAUUAGAUUCAAAGCCAAUGCCCCCCGGGCUCACUGGUGAUUCAUGAUAACUGCUCGAAUCGCAUGGCCUUGCGCCGGCGAUGGUUCAUUCAAAUUUCUUCCCUAUCAACUUUCGAUGUUUGGGUAGUGGCCAAACAUGGUUGCAACGGGUAACGGAGGGUUAGGGCUCGACCCCGGAGAAGGAGCCUGAGAAACGGCUACUACAUCCAAGGAAGGCAGCAGGCGCGCAAAUUACCCAAUCCCGACGCGGGGAGGUAGUGACAAUAAAUACUGAUACAGGGCUCUUUUGGGUCUUGUAAUUGGAAUGAGUACAAUUUAAAUCCCUUAACGAGGAACAAUUGGAGGGCAAGUCUGGUGCCAGCAGCCGCGGUAAUUCCAGCUCCAAUAGCGUAUAUUAAAGUUGUUGUGGUUAAAAAGCUCGUAGUUGAACCUUGGGCCUGGCUGGCCGGUCCGCCUCACCGCGUGCACUGGUCCGGCCGGGCCUUUCCCUCUGUGGAACCCCAUGCCCUUCGCUGGGCGUGGCGGGGAAACAGGACGUUUACUUUGAAAAAAUUAGAGUGCUCCAGGCAGGCCUAUGCUCGAAUACAUUAGCAUGGAAUAAUGAAAUAGGACGCGCGGUUCUAUUUUGUUGGUUUCUAGGACCGCCGUAAUGAUUAAUAGGGACAGUCGGGGGCAUCAGUAUUCAAUUGUCAGAGGUGAAAUUCUUGGAUUUAUUGAAGACUAACUACUGCGAAAGCAUUUGCCAAGGAUGUUUUCAUUAAUCAGGAACGAAAGUUAGGGGAUCGAAGACGAUCAGAUACCGUCGUAGUCUUAACCAUAAACUAUGCCGACUGGGGAUCGGACGAUGUUAACCAUUGACUCGUUCGGCACCCUGCGAG
rnacentral:rRNA from 1 species